UCUCGGCUGCCAAAUGUUAAAAGAGGUUCAAGUACAUGAGAGCAAAAGUUGACAGUAUUGCAAGUUCAAGCUAUGUACUAACCUGUGGUAAGACGUUUCUUUUGGCCCCCUGAUAUGCCUCUCCUCAUCACAUCUCCUAUCAAUAUUUCUGCACAAAUGUCGAGUCCAAGAAUCUGCAUAUGCGACAGAAGGUAUAAGAACCAAACAAGAAGGGGCAAAUUUCCAGUCAGGCUAUUAAAGAGACUAUAAUACCUUCAAGAUGUAAUCUGUUUGCAGACUUCUUUCAAGUCCUUCCACAGAUAUUGCCUAGAGGAAAUAAAAAAGUUAUAGUCAAGUCAACCACAGAGCUUAAAGGAUAAGAGAGCGUUGGUGGAAUGUACUUUCAUGAAAAGAAAAUAAUUCCAUGAUACAUAUUUCUCAACGUGAGACAUUGAUUGGUUUAUGAAACCUACCUGUUCGGCUUCCAACACCUUGACAACGAGCUGAGAAGUCAACUGUCUCCCUCACUGUCAUCUCAGCAAUGUGCAGAUCAUAUUGACUUAUGUACGCAGAUGUUUUCUGAGGAACAAACUCGUCUAGUCUGUGCCCAUUGUAGGAUAUUUCACCUGAACACUGUGGAAACAGAAAAAAAGGAGGACCAAGCAACAGUGUUAACCUGCAAGAGAAAGAAGAUUUACUAUACACACUUGGAUGGUAUAAAGCUUUGUCCUAAACUUUGAGCUUCACCAGCUCCUGGAGAAAAGGCAAUACAACAGAAUUUCAAACUCAAACGCUUUGAAGCAAUCACAGAAUCAAGGUAACAACAGCUGGAGAAUAUACUUACAGACAAAACACGCUUAGCAGUGUUCCACAGUGUUGGAAGUGCCUUCCCUUCAACAAUCUCGCACUCUGCCUCCACUUUUAAACCCUCAUACCUCACUUCUAUGGUCGGUAACUCCAUUCCAACUCUGCGCAACACAGUUUUAACCUUCAAAGUUUCAAACCUUUUUGAAUCCGAAAGGAUGACGUUCCAUAGCUCCAAGCUUCGUGACAUCAACGACUCUUUUCCCUUUCUCGACCAUGGACUCAUCACCAUCAUCAAGUAGAGUCGAUCUCAUGCGUUUCACGGUUGGCAAUCUCUCGAUCUCAGCCCACUGCAGAGCAUACUCUGCAUUAGUAUCAUUGCCCUCGCCAUCAUGAUCAGGUUCAUAUCUUGAAGAGCCGCUUCUGAAACUCGAGGUGUGUCUAUGGAACGAUGAUCUGAUGCUUCUUCCAAUCUCCGCAAGCUCCACUCUCAACGACUCAAUCUCGUCUGCUCCAGCCAUAUUAGCCAUGGCUGUGGCUUAAUGAGUUUGAGCUCUCUGAAUAUCAGAAAUUUCAAAAGUCUUAUUGAGAGAUAAGCCUAAUGCUUUGACUUGGAGAUAUAUAUAGUUAUACUUUUAUGCAUUGUUCAAACUGACACGUUUCAAUGAUGUAAGUGAAUACAUCAUCUUUUCGAAUACAUCAGCUUUUCUUAUGAGUU